AGAGUUUGAUCAUGGCUCAGAUUGAACGCUGGCGGCAGGCCUAACACAUGCAAGUCGAACGGUAACAGGAAGCAGCUUGCUGCUUCGCUGACGAGUGGCGGACGGGUGAGUAAUGUCUGGGAAACUGCCUGAUGGAGGGGGAUAACUACUGGAAACGGUAGCUAAUACCGCAUAACGUCGCAAGACCAAAGAGGGGGACCUUCGGGCCUCUUGCCAUCGGAUGUGCCCAGAUGGGAUUAGCUAGUAGGUGGGGUAACGGCUCACCUAGGCAACGAUCCCUAGCUGGUCUGAGAGGAUGACCAGCCACACUGGAACUGAGACACGGUCCAGACUCCUACGGGAGGCAGCAGUGGGGAAUAUUGCACAAUGGGCGCAAGCCUGAUGCAGCCAUGCCGCGUGUAUGAAGAAGGCCUUCGGGUUGUAAAGUACUUUCAGCGGGGAGGAAGGCGAUAAGGUUAAUAACCUUGUCGAUUGACGUUACCCGCAGAAGAAGCACCGGCUAACUCCGUGCCAGCAGCCGCGGUAAUACGGAGGGUGCAAGCGUUAAUCGGAAUUACUGGGCGUAAAGCGCACGCAGGCGGUCUGUCAAGUCGGAUGUGAAAUCCCCGGGCUCAACCUGGGAACUGCAUUCGAAACUGGCAGGCUAGAGUCUUGUAGAGGGGGGUAGAAUUCCAGGUGUAGCGGUGAAAUGCGUAGAGAUCUGGAGGAAUACCGGUGGCGAAGGCGGCCCCCUGGACAAAGACUGACGCUCAGGUGCGAAGGCGUGGGGAUCAAACAGGAUUAGAUACCCUGGUAGUC
rnacentral:rRNA from 1 species